GAUGAACGCUGGCGGCGUGCCUAACACAUGCAAGUCGAACGGGAACCCUUGGGAUUCGUCUCGGGGGGGAGAGUGGCGAACGGGUGAGUAACACGUAGGUGACCUGCCCCAGAGAGGGGAAUAACCACUGGAAACGGUGGCUAAUACCCCAUGAGCUCGGUGAUUCGAUUCACCGAGUAAAGCUCCGGCGCUUUGGGAGGGGCCUGCGGCCCAUCAGGUAGUUGGUAGGGUAAAGGCCUACCAAGCCUAUGACCGGUAGGGGGCGUGAGAGCGUGAUCCCCCACACUGGCACUGAGACACGGGCCAGACUCCUACGGGAGGCAGCAGUGAGGAAUAUUGCCCAAUGGACGCAAGUCUGAGGCAGCAACGCCGCGUGAGCGAUGAAGGCCUUCGGGUUGUAAAGCUCUUUUCUGGGGGAAGAGGAAGGACGGUACCUCAGGAAUAAGUCACGGCUAACUACGUG
rnacentral:rRNA from 1 species